UGUUUCGGCUAGGGGGCCAUCCCGGCUUACCAACCCGAUGCAAACUGCGAAUACCGGAGAAUGUUAUCACGGGAGACACACGGCGGGUGCUAACGUCCGUCGUGAAGAGGGAAACAACCCAGACCGCCAGCUAAGGUCCCAAAGUCAUGGUUAAGUGGGAAACGAUGUGGGAAGGCCCAGACAGCCAGGAUGUUGGCUUAGAAGCAGCCAUCAUUUAAAGAAAGCGUAAUAGCUCACUGGUCGAGUCGGCCUGCGCGGAAGAUGUAACGGGGCUAAACCAUGCACCGAAGCUGCGGCAGCGACACUGUGUGUUGUUGGGUAGGGGAGCGUUCUGUAAGCCUGUGAAGGUGGCCUGUGAGGGUUGCUGGAGGUAUCAGAAGUGCGAAUGCUGACAUAAGUAACGAUAAAGCGGGUGAAAAGCCCGCUCGCCGGAAGACCAAGGGUUCCUGUCCAACGUUAAUCGGGGCAGGGUGAGUCGACCCCUAAGGCGAGGCCGAAAGGCGUAGUCGAUGGGAAACGGGUUAAUAUUCC
rnacentral:rRNA from 1 species